GAUGAACGCUGGCGGCGUGCCUAAUACAUGCAAGUCGAGCGAACAGACGAGGCGCUUGCUCCUCUCACGUUAGCCGCGGACGGGUGAGUCACACGUGGAUAACCUACCUAUAAGACUGGGAUAACUUCGGGAAACCGGAGCUAAUACCGGAUAAUAUAUUGAACCGCAUGGUUCAAUAGUGAAAGACGGUUUUGCUGUCUCUUAUAGAUGGAUCCGCGCCGGAUUAGCUAGUUGGUAAGUUAACAGCUUACCAAGGCAACGAGGCGUAGCCGACCGGAGAGGGGGAUCGGCCACACUGGAGCGGAGACACGGUCCAGACUCCUACGGGAGGCAGCAGUAGGGAAUCUUCCGCAAUGGGCGAAAGCCUGACGGAGCAACGCCGCGUGAGUGAUGAAGGUCUUCGGAGCGUAAAACUCUGUUAUUAGGGAAGAACAAAUGUGUAAGGAACUAUGCACGGCUUGACGGUACCUAAUAAGAAAGCAACGGCUAACUACGUG
rnacentral:rRNA from 1 species